GCCGAAAUAGCUCAGCUGGGAGAGCGUUAGACUGAAGAUCUAAACUAAAGGUCCCCGGUUCAAUCCCGGGUUUCGGCA